rnacentral:rRNA from 1 species
UACGGAGGGUGCAAGCGUUGUCCGGAAUCACUGGGCGUAAAGGGCGCGUAGGCGGCCUGGUAAGUAGGGGGUGAAAUCCUGCGGCUUAACCGCAGGGCUGCCUUCUAAACUGUCAGGCUUGAGCACGGUAGAGGCAGAUGGAAUUCCCGGUGUAGCGGUGGAAUGCGUAGAGAUCGGGAAGAACACCGGUGGCGAAGGCGGCCUGCUGGGCAGUUUAGCUGACACUGAGGCGCGACAGCGUGGGGAGCAAACAGG